rnacentral:ncRNA from 1 species
AUAAUUACUGAAUCAUCAGGUUUCACAUGCAGUACCAGAGCUGUUCGCUGCAUUGAAUGAAUAGGGAAAUCCGUGAAAAUCGGAUACGGGCCCGCCGCUGUAACCGGGGACGAAAACUGCACCAGGGUCACUUGCCUUCGGGUGGGGAAGACGCAGCCAGUAGGACGAUCCGGAAGUCAGAAGACCUGCCUGAUGGUGAAUGCCUUCC